rnacentral:rRNA from 2 species
UACGGAGGGGGCUAGCGUUGUUCGGAAUUACUGGGCGUAAAGCGCACGUAGGCGGCCAUUCAAGUCAGAGGUGAAAGCCCAGGGCUCAACCUUGGAACUGCCUUUGAAACUAGAUGGCUAGAAUUCUGGAGAGGUCAGUGGAAUUCCGAGUGUAGAGGUGAAAUUCGUAGAUAUUCGGAAGAACACCAGUGGCGAAGGCGACUGACUGGACAGAUAUUGACGCUGAGGUGCGAAAGCGUGGGGAGCAAACAGG